rnacentral:rRNA from 1 species
AUUGAACGCUGGCGGCAUGCCUUACACAUGCAAGUCGAACGGUAACAGGUCUUCGGAUGCUGACGAGUGGCGAACGGGUGAGUAAUACAUCGGAACGUGCCUAGUAGUGGGGGAUAACUACUCGAAAGAGUGGCUAAUACCGCAUGAGAUCUACGGAUGAAAGCAGGGGAUCGCAAGACCUUGUGCUACUAGAGCGGCCGAUGGCAGAUUAGGUAGUUGGUGGGAUAAAAGCUUACCAAGCCGACGACCUGUCGGUGGUCUGAGAGGACGAUCAGCCACACUGGGACUGAGACACGGCCCAGACUCCUACGGGAGGCAGCAGUGGGGAAUUUUGGACAAUGGGCGGAAGCCUGAUCCAGCAAUGCCGCGUGCAGGAUGAAGGCCUUCGGGUUGUAAACUGCUUUUGUACGGAACGAAAAGCCCCGGGUUAAUACCCUGGGGUCAUGACGGUACCGUAAGAAUAAGCACCGGCUAACUACGUGCCAGCAGCCGCCGUAA